GCUGAUUUUUGGGCUGACACGUUAUUCGUAAUGAUGGGGUCACGUGUUCGAGUCACGUAAGCGGCACCA
rnacentral:tRNA from 1 species